rnacentral:lncRNA from 1 species
AAAAGAGGUAGAAUAAUAGGAAAGAAAAGAAAAGAAAAAAAUUAAAUAAAAAAUCUAAAAAUUAAUGCUAUAUAAUUUUUAUCUAGGGAGAAAAUUUAGAAUAGAAGCCAUGAAGCCUAUAUAUCCUAUAGGUUAUACAAGUUGGCCACUUUCCUACACUAACACUAGCUCAAAUAAAUAGUUGCCUUUGUGGACUGAAUUUGAAUCUAAAUCAAUUAUUCUGUAACUAUGUAUGUGGCUAAUUGUCCAAUAACUUAAAAAUAUUAAGCUAUUUCAAACUAACUCUAAAUAUCAAAGGCAUCAACUUCAAAGAAUUAAAAGAUCAAUCUACUCUUGUGUCAUUUAAAAAAGACUAAAAUAUCUUUCAAAGAUGGUAAUAUAUAAAUCUAGAAUAGCUAUUGCCAAGAAUAAGAAGAUUAGAAAUUCUUGAAAUAAGACUAAAGACUAAAAAUCAUUGAUAAGAGUAAAAAAGGCUUCAUUCUUACCUUCUUAUAUACUAUCUAAUUAAGAGCUAUGUACUUAUGUUCUAUAAGACCACCAACAUGAAUUGACUUAGUUAGACAUAUAUCUUAAAGAAAUUAAAAAAAUCCUAAAGAAAUACUAAAAAUAAUAAUCUUAAAUAAAAUUUAAUUAUAUUUUAAUAUAAUUCAAAUUAAAAUUCUAAUUAAAUCUUAAUCAAAUCCUAAAUCAAAUCUUAAUUGAAAUCUUAAUUGAAUCUUAAUCAAAUCCUAAGUCAAAUCUUAAUGAAAUCCAAAAAAAAUCCUAAACUCUAGACAAAUCCUAAAUAAAUCCUAAUCAAAUUCUAUUCAAAUUUUAAACCAAAUCUUAAGCAAAUCCUAAUCAAACCUAAGCUCCAAAUCAAAUCCUAAAUAAAUCCUAAAUCCUAAUCAAAUCCUAAAUUAAAUCCUAAAAAAAUCUUAAUCAAUUCUUAAAUAAAAUUCUAAAAAAUCCUAAUCAAAUCCUAAAUCAAAUCUUAAGCCAUAAUAAAAUCAUAAAAAAAAUCUUAAUCUAAAUCAUAAUCAAAUCUUGAAUCUUGAAGAAACUCUUAACAAAUCUCAUAGUAAAAUAAAAUCUCAACAACUAAUGAUUUCACUAUUCAUAUCAACUCAAAAUUUGCAUAGUUUUUAAAAACAUGGUAGAUAACAAGCAUAAGAAAGAUGAAAAUGAUUGCACUUACCAAUUGAGAGAAAUAUAAGAUAAUCCAAUUGGGCAUUGAGUGGCCUUCCAUUCCAAUCUAAAUAAUGAAUUUCUAGCACCAAUAUCUCCUU